AGAGUUUGAUCCUGGCUCAGGAUGAACGCUAGCGGCAGGCUUAAUACAUGCAAGUCGAGGGGCAGCACGUCUUCGGAUGGUGGCGACCGGCGCACGGGUGCGUAACACGUAUGCAACCUACCUUUAACUGGGGAAUAGCCCCGAGAAAUCGGGAUUAAUACCCCAUAAUAUUCAUUUUUCGCAUGAUUUAUGAAUUAAAACUCCGGUGGUUAAAGAUGGGCAUGCGCGACAUUAGUUGUUGGUGAGGUAACGGCUCACCAAGACAGCGAUGUCUAGGGGUUCUGAGAGGAAUAUCCCCCACACUGGUACUGAGACACGGACCAGACUCCUACGGGAGGCAGCAGUAAGGAAUAUUGGUCAAUGGGCGAAAGCCUGAACCAGCCAUGCCGCGUGCAGGAUGAAGGCCCUAUGGGUUGUAAACUGCUUUUAUAUAGGAAGAAACUCCCGUACGUGUACGGGACUGACGGUAUUAUACGAAUAAGGACCGGCUAACUCCGUGCCAGCAGCCGCGGUAAUACGGAGGGUCCAAGCGUUAUCCGGAUUUAUGGGUUUAAAGGGUGCGCAGGCGGACCGAUAAGUCAGUGGUGAAAUCCCACAGCUCAACUGUAGAACUGCCAUUGAUACUGUCGAUCUUGAGUACGGUUGAAGUAGGCGGAAUGUAUCAUGUAGCGGUGAAAUGCAUAGAUAUGAUACAGAACUCCGAUAGCGAAGGCAGCUUACUAAGCCGUAACUGACGCUCAGGCACGAAAGCGUGGGGAGCAAACAGGAUUAGAUACCCUGGUAGUCCACGCCGUAAACGAUGAUCACUCGUUGUUGGCAAUACACAGUCAGCGACUGAACGAAAGCAUUAAGUGAUCCACCUGGGAAGUACGAUCGCAAGGUUGAAACUCAAAGGAAUUGACGGGGGCCCGCACAAGCGGAGGAGCAUGUGGUUUAAUUCGAUGAUACGCGAGGAACCUUACCUGGGCUUAAAUGUAUAAUGACCGGCUGGGAAACCAGUCUUCUCUUCGGAGCAUUUUACAAGGUGCUGCAUGGUUGUCGUCAGCUCGUGCCGUGAGGUGUCGGGUUAAGUCCCAUAACGAGCGCAACCCCUAUUCUUAGUUGCCAUCAGAUAAUGCUGGGGACUCUAAGGAAACUGCCUACGCAAGUAGUGAGGAAGGUGGGGAUGACGUCAAAUCAGCACGGCCCUUAUGUCCAGGGCUACACACGUGCUACAAUGGUCGGUACAGAGGGUCGCUACCUGGUGACAGGAUGCUAAUCUCAAAAACCGAUCUCAGUUCGGAUCGAAGUCUGCAACUCGACUUCGUGAAGCUGGAUUCGCUAGUAAUCGCAUAUCAGCAAUGGUGCGGUGGAUACGUCC
rnacentral:rRNA from 1 species